UACGAAGGGUGCAAACGUUGUUCGGAAUCACUGGGCUUAAAGGGCGCGUAGGCGGGUGCUCAAGUCCGUGGUGAAAUCCUCCGGCUCAACCGGAGAACUGCCUCGGAUACUGGGCGUCUCGAGUGUGGUAGGGGUAUGCGGAACUAUCGGUGGAGCGGUGAAAUGCGUUGAUAUCGAUAGGAACUCCGGUGGCGAAGGCGGCAUACUGGACCACCACUGACGCUGAUGCGCGAAAGCCAGGGGAGCAAACGGG
rnacentral:rRNA from 1 species